CCUACGGGAGGCAGCAGUAGGGAAUCUUCCGCAAUGGACGAAAGUCUGACGGAGCAACGCCGCGUGAGCGAUGAAGGCCUUCGGGUCGUAAAGCUCUGUUGUUAGGGAAGAAUAAGUGCUAGUUGAAUAAGCUGGCACCUUGACGGUACCUAACCAGAAAGCCACGGCUAACUACGUGCCAGCAGCCGCGGUAAUACGUAGUGGCAAGCGUUGUCCGGAAUUAUUGGGCGUAAAGCGCGCGCAGCGGUUCUUAAGUCUGAUGUGAAAGCCCCCGGCUCAACCGGGGAGGGUCAUUGGAAACUGGGAAACUUGAGUGCAGAAGAGGAAAGUGGAAUUCCCAGUGUAGCGGUGAAAUGCGUAGAGAUUUGGAGGAACACCAGUGGCGAAGGCGACUUUCUGGUCUGUAACUGACGCUGAGGCGCGAAAGCGUGGGGAGCAAACAGGAUUAGAUACCCUGGUAGUCCACGCUGUAAACGAUGAGUGCUAAGUGUUAGAGGGUUUCCGCCCCUUUAGUGCUGAAGUUAACGCAUUAAGCACUCCCGCCUGGGGAGUACGGUCGCAAGACUGAAACUCAAAGGAAUUGACGGGGGCCCGCACAAGUGGUGGAGCAUGUGGUUUAAUUCGAAGCAACGCGAAGAACCUUAC
rnacentral:rRNA from 1 species